CCUACGGGAGACAGCAGUGAGGAAUAUUGGUCAAUGGACGAGAGUCUGAACCAGCCAAGUAGCGUGAAGGAUGACUGCCCUAUGGGUUGUAAACUUCUUUUAUAUGGGAAUAAAACGUUCCACGUGUGGGAUUUUGUAUGUACCAUAUGAAUAAGGAUCGGCUAACUCCGUGCCAGCAGCCGCGGUAAUACGGAGGAUCCGAGCGUUAUCCGGAUUUAUUGGGUUUAAAGGGAGCGUAGGUAGAUUGUUAAGUCAGUUGGGAAAGUUUGCGGCUCAACCGUGAAAUUGCAGUUGAAACUGGCAGUCUUGAGUACAGUAGAGGUGUGCGGAAUUCGUGGUGUAGCGGUGAAAUGCUUAGAUAUCACGAAUAACUCCGAUUGCGAAGGCAGCUCACUGGACUGCAACUGACACUGAGGCUCGAAAGUGUGGGUAUCAAACAGGAUUAGAUACCCUUGUAGUC
rnacentral:rRNA from 1 species